GUGAAGUCUGGAGGAUCGGAACAGGCUGUGUGACUGGCUAGUUAAGCAGGUUUGUUAUCUGAUCUGUUGCAAUCCACACCCUGCCCGCCUGCUUUUCGGUGCUAUGUCAGUUUUGUAUUUUCAUGUCUGCUGUUUUUGUUAAUUGUGUAAAUGUAAAGGUCCUAUGUUGGGUUCACUAGCGAAGUCUUUUCUUGCUGCCCUGAGCACAUGGCGUGUGGAACAGGAGUUCCUCUGCCAUGUGCCAUGGAUUAGAAUGUGCUGCGGUGGAGUCCUCUGUCUCCCAGCACAUGGUAAGGCUGCUGCUCUGGACUCCAACCACUGCUGCGGCCCUCACAGCUGAGCCUGGCCGGUGCAGGUUUCUGCUUCUGGCAGACACAUCUAAGUAUCAGUUGCUGAAUACAGGCUGUUCCUAAAGAACUUCGAGCCCUGGACUUGCUGUGGAUGUGAACCAGUCCAGCUGAUGUGGACACCUCCGUCUCUGCAACAGAGUCUGCCAACCAGAAGCUCCUGAUGGAUUCCCCAUUACCUAAAUUCCCUUUUUGCUUUUGACUAGCAUUUCAGCCUUCUUGGGUCCCUAACUUCGUCCCAAAGUCAGCAGAAGUAGCAUGGGAAUGAAUACAUCGCCUGUUUUCCAUGGUUGAUAUGCUAAGUCAGAAGGAACUCCCUUACAUAGGGGAUGCCAAUAUCUCUCACUCCCUGAUGGGGACGCUGGAGAGACAGCAAUUCCAUGAUUGCAAUCUCCAAAAAGAAAAUGGGGGAAGGAAGGGACCAGCUCCCCAUUUCAGCAGCCAUAACAGCCUAGAACGUGCUUGCCUGACCUUGCCUUGGUCCCUAGAAGGUCAGAUGCCUGCCUCGUGGCAAGGAAUCAAUCAGAAGUUAGCUGGUGGCGCUAUGCUUUACGGCUUUGGGUGUGCUUUACAGACAAGUGCACAGCAAUGACUUGCAGACCAUAGCAACCAUCCUGGGAGGGUCUAUGGGCCAUAACAACCAGUUGAUCAAUCAACACAGGGCAAGCCCUCCAAGCCUGGAGGCACACCAAUAGUGAGCCUGUGCGUACCCCUAGACACUCCCCUUACGCUGCCCUAUAAGAUCUCUAUGCUGUGGCUUCACAGCAUCUUUCCCAGCUGUCUGCCAUGGUGGAUAGAUGAAAGGCCCAAGCUAACAUGGGGUUAGCUUGUUAAACAAAUGCA
rnacentral:lncRNA from 1 species